UUUUCACAAAGAUAGUACAUGGCAGUUCUGACGUUUGUUGUUAUUUUUGGUGAACACCGUAGUUUUUGUGAAAAUGGUUGUUCGUUGUUUCCAGUGAAAGUGCUCCGCGAUCCAUGCUUGCACCAUGUAACAGCCAUAGAAUCUCAAACAACAUGAACUCAUUAACUGGUUGAUUUGAGAACGACAGUUUUUUUGUGUUAUCGAUUCUCCCUAGCACCCCCUCAUGAGGUCUUCAAAACACGAUCUCUUCAAAACAUGAUUUCUUCUCCUAGAUAGUAUAAAAACGACAAGUGCGCUGUAAGAUGGAAACUGUGGGCGAUUUUGAGUACAGCAGCAAAGAAAUAAUUGGUCAUGGAGCUUUUGCUGUUGUCUUUAAAGGAAGACACAGAAAGAAUCCAAAUUUUGUAGUGGCAAUAAAAAGUAUCACCAAAAAGAAUCUUGCAAAAUCUCAGAAUCUUCUUGGGAAAGAAAUCAAGAUUUUGAAGGAAUUAACGGAAUUACACCAUGAAAAUGUCGUGGCCCUACUUGAUUGUAAGGAAACUGCACUCAAUGUUUUCCUUGUCAUGGAAUAUUGCAAUGGAGGAGAUUUGGCUGACUAUUUAGCAGUCAAGGGGACAUUAAGUGAGGAUACAAUUCGCCUCUUCCUCUGUCAGUUGGCUGGUGCCAUGAAAGCUUUGUAUGCAAAAGGCAUUGUACAUAGAGAUUUAAAACCACAAAACAUUCUUCUCAGCCAUUCAGGUGGUAAGAUGUGCCCACAGCCUCAUGAAAUAACACUUAAGAUUGCUGACUUUGGUUUUGCAAGGUUCUUACAGGAUGGUGUUAUGGCAAAAACAUUAUGUGGAUCUCCUAUGUACAUGGCUCCAGAAGUUAUAAUGUCUCUCCAGUAUGAUGCGAAGGCAGAUCUGUGGAGCUUGGGCACAAUUGUUUUCCAAUGUCUGACUGGAAAGGCUCCAUUUCAGGCCCAAACUCCACCCGCUCUCAAACAAUUUUAUGAGAAAAAUGGAAAUUUGUCUCCAAAGAUACCACCAGGAACAUCACCAGAAUUAACAGAUCUCUUGAUGGGGCUGUUGCGACGUAAUGCUAGGGACCGCAUGAAUUUUGACACAUUUUUUAAUCAUCCGUUCUUGAAAAGACAUUCAGAGCCUGUUCCCACCCCAGCUCCACCACCACCGCCGUCCUGUACUCUACCUGGAGAGCUUCCUCCUUCUCCAGCUACAUUGUUUGCUCCUGUAGCAGCGGCUUCUUCACUACCAAGGGCUGAACCUUCUUCACCAGAACCAGGAUCGCCAGUGUCUUGUAGAGGUCAAGGCAGUAGUUCAAGUCCAGAAGAAACAGAUGACUUUGUCUUGGUUCCAUCAAAUAUUCCUUCUGAUCAGUCAAGUGAUAGCAACAUUGAAAGACAGGUGAAAGGUAUUCGACCAUGCAUGGCAAUAGCUAGUCCACCAAGGCCAAGUUUCCUGCCAAUAUCAGACCCCAUCCCUGUACCAACACAAAGGGAUGCUUAUCAGCAGUUACAAACAAAUGAUGGAUUGCAGUCACCAAGUAAGAGUGCAGUUCCUAGAUCACAACCAAUCAACAUGAAGAGAGGGAAUGAUUAUUCGAGAACAGCUCCACCAGAUCUUAGCUCACUGUCACCACCUUCUGUGCAGUUCAUGAUAGGUACACCACCUGGUGGAGGGGGUCAACGACGUCGUUCAGCAUCAGGCAGUUCAUGUGAAACACCACCACCUGUAACAACGUGGCAAGUGUCUCCUGUCUCUGGAGGAAAGUUAACUCCAACUAGUUCACCACUUAGGCGUUCAGGAACAAGUUCACCCCUUCUGAGCGGUCCACUAGCUGUUUUACCACCUAUACUUGGUUCCCCAACUCGUUUGACAGAAAAUAAUAAUCUCCGACAUUCACCAAUAAUGCCAUUUGGUACAAGGGCUAUGACGUUGCCAGAAAUUUCAGAAGCUGGAGGAAUUCAGAGGCUUUUCCACAAUUCUCCAGCACCUGCAAUUGAAGGGCCUAUAACUUUCCUAGCUCCAGAACUUCCUGAAGAAACACUAUUAGAACGGGAACACAAUGAGACACUGGCCAAACUAAAUUUCGUGUUAGCACUGUCGGACUGUGUAGCAGAGUUGGCAGCAUCUCGCGCAACUCCACUAGCAGCAUUAGCGGAUGGUGCAGGGAGUGGUGGUGGUAGUGUUGGUGGUGGUGGUGGUGGAGGAGGAGGAGGAGGAGGAGGAGGAGGAUCACGACAGAGUGAAGGAACUCGGCGUGCUGAGCAGCUGGUCUUGCUUGUACGUGCAUUGCAGCUUUUAAGCUCAGGACUGAAUCUAGCAACACAGCAGUUGCGAGCCGGAGUACUGCAACCAUCAGCAUCAGUCAAAAGUGUGGUCAGUAUGUUGAAUUCAAAAUUUCACCAGUGUUUAAAUGAGUGCAAGCAGCUAAAUACUCCUGGGCUUCUGCAAAAAGCAGGAGUAGAUCCAUCAAGCACUAGUAUCACUGCAGAUAGAAUUCUGUACAACCAUGCAAUCCAGAUGUGCCAGUCAGGCGGCUCUUGAUGAGCUUUUCGGUCAGCCUGAAGAAUGCUUUCAGCGUUACCAGACGGCUCAGAUCUUACUGCAUAGCCUUUCACAACAAGUGAGCCAUCAACAAGAUAGAGCUUUAUUAACAAAGUACAAAGAUGCUGUUGAGAAAAGGUUAUUCGUCCUACAACAGCAAGGCUACAUUUACUCUACUUGACCUAACCAGUUCGUGUGGAUAUUCCAUUUUGUCCCAUUCAAGAAACAAAUGGAUCAUUCCGGUACCUGAAGGUUUGGCGGCUAACAGUGCAAAAACUAUUCAACUGUGCUGUUGCGUUGAAUGGACAUAACAUUUUUUUACUGCUGUUGUAGAGCAAAUGGUUUUAUAAAUGUAAAACAUGGACACUUAAUGCUAAUGUAUUUGUGUAUGUUACAGGAAGUGUAUCGGUUGUCUUUUGUACAAUUGAAUAAUUGUAGUGUGUGCAUCAAUGUGCAUAUGUACAUAUAUGUAAAAAAUAAAAUCUAAAUAGCUGUGCAAAGAAGUAUUUGCAGUAACGUGAUAAUAGUUUGAAAGCAGAGUAUGUGGAGGGGAUGUCACCUUUAAACGGGCUAUUUGUGUAACUACAAGAGCUGUGUAAAUAAUCACACAUUUCUAAAAGUUUACUUUGAAAUAUAUGAGCUUCACAUUACUAUUGUAAUUUUAUGGCAAGAUUCUGAAUAUCAAUUCACAAAGAACUGUGUCUUACUGAGAAUGUGUAUGUAAAAUUUGGAGAUUAUGGAAGCAUGGUGAGUAAGCCUGGAAAUAUGUAAUAGGGUUUUGAUGUUUAAAUGUAACUUAUAAAAGAAAACACAAUACAAAUAAGAAUUCCUCUAUUACUUAGUCCAUUGAUAAAAUGUUCCCUUUGAAUCUUGUAAAACAUGUAGUAUUACAAGUUUUUAAAUUCCAUAUUUAUUUUUAGACAUUGUAUAAAUUAAAUUGUUGUGAUAAUGUGAAUGAUUGUAAUUUUAUCGCCAAUAGAACAAAUUUUAUAUCAAUAUUAAGUGAAUCUGUGUUCAACUAUUCAGCCCAAAUUAGCAUAUUUAAUUAGUAUUCCUUGAAUAAUGUUUCUGAUGCGUAGAAAAACUUAAUUUUCUGUUGAACUUGCUAUGCUAGUCAGGACAAAGAUAACAUUAUAAAUUUCAUAUUACUUACUUCA